UAUUAUUUGAGAUUCUUCAAAUAGCCACACUUUGCCUUGAUGACAGCUUUGCACACUCUUGGCAUUUUCUCAACCAGCUACACCUGGAGUCUGAUUCACCCCCAGCACUUGCUAUUCCAGUCACAAAAAUACCAGUUUGUGGACCUACUACAGAACGUGAGUGUGUUUAUGUGAUGAUGCACAAUUGUGGCCAGAGGCCCCGUCUGACAAACAUCUUGUCAAAAAGGGUCAAAACAGAUCAGAUCCCUCUGAGAUUUAGUGACAACUAUGAAACAUGUAUGAAAAAUUGAGAAGAAAUGACACUGACAUUGCUUGUGUAUUCAAGUAUAUCUGAUGCAGUUUUUUGUUUUUGUUGUCGCAUUUUUGGAAAAAGAGACUAAUUUGAGCAGUGAUGGUUUUCGUUCGUGGAAGAAUACGGGACCAUUUUGAAAGCACAUGAGCAUUGUACUGAGCAUUUACACAACAUGGAGAGUUGGCGCCAUCUUGCGGAAAGAUUGAAAACAGGCACAACCAUUAAUGCAAUCAACCAGACUGGCUGCAAGGUGGAUCGUAUCCUGACAAAGCCUGUGUGAAGAAGUGCUGGCUUGGUUGCUCUGGGUGUUGUCUACUUCAAAGGUAGAUGGAUAACUCAGUUCAGUCAAAGUAGAGGGAUGGAGGACUUCCUGCCAGAUGGGGAGGCACUCACCCACAUUGUCAUGAUGUGAUGACACAGAACCAUUCACCAGUGAAACUGGGCUGCACAGUAAAUACAGCCUGUGAAGGUGGCCCAAACACUGCCUUCCUUGAGUGCAGCUACUCCACAGACCUGCUGCCUCUGCUCGUUGACCAGGGUGAGUACUCCUUCAUCCUACCUUAUCCUGUAUUUAUCUGUUUGCAUCUGCCAAUCUGUUUGCAUCUGCCAGGUGGACCUGUCCCAAAACAUCCUAUAGGCUACAGUUAAACUCUUUCCAUAAUGUUUUGAGGAUGGCAAUUAAGGAGAAUGAGAGGCUCAAUUAAAGAUGUUACAGAACUGCUGUAUUUGAAUCACCAUUCCCUUCUGCCCUGUUCCCUGAUGUUGCUAUGGCAAUCAAGUUGUUUUUAACCAUCCCUGUAACUUUCGCUUCUGCGGAGAGAUGGUUUUCUAAACUAAAACUCAUAAAGAGCUACCUAAGAACGAA